UCCGGUUUGACACCGGCAGUCUUCCUAGAGUGCCCGACAUGACUCGCUGGUAACUAGGAACGAGGGUUGCGCUCGUUGCGGGACUUAACCCAACAUCUCACGACACGAGCUGACGACAGCCAUGCAGCACCUGUGCAUGGACUCCGAAGAGGGUCCGAUGUUUCCACCGGCUUUCCCAUGCAUGUCAAGCCCAGGUAAGGUUCUUCGCGUUGCAUCGAAUUAAGCCACAUACUCCACCGCUUGUGCAGGCCCCCGUCAAUUCCGUUUGAGUUUUAAUCUUGCGACCGUACUCCCCAGGCGGAGUGCUUAAUGCGUUAGCGGCGGCACCGCAGGGGUCAAUACCCGCGACACCUAGUGCCCAUCGUUUACAGCGUGGACUAC
rnacentral:misc_RNA from 1 species